rnacentral:rRNA from 1 species
GGAGGGCAAGUCUGGUGCCAGCAGCCGCGGUAAUUCCAGCUCCAAUAGCGUAUAUUAAAGUUGUUGUGGUUAAAAAGCUCGUAGUUGAACCUUGGGCCUGGCUGGCCGGUCCGCCUCACCGCGUGUACUGGUCCGGCCGGGCCUUUCCCUCUGUGGAACCCCAUGCCCUUCACUGGGUGUGGCGGGGAAACAGGACUUUUACUUUGAAAAAACUAGAGUGCUCCAGGCAGGCCUAUGCUCGAAUACAUUAGCAUGGAAUAAUAGAAUAGGACGUGUGGUUCUAUUUUGUUGGUUUCUAGGACCGCCGUAAUGAUUAAUUGGGACAGUCGGGGGCAUCAGUAUUCAAUUGUCAGAGGUGAAAUUCUUGGAUUUAUUGAAGACUAACUACUGCGAAAGCAUUUGCCAAGGAUGUUUUCAUUAAUCAGGAACGAAAGUUAGGGGAUCGAAGACGAUCAGAUACCGUCGUAGUCUUAACCAUAAACUAUGCCGACUAGGGAUCGGACGAUGUUAUUUUUUGACUCGUUCGGCGCCUUACGGGAAAC